UCCCAUCCCACUACCUCGAUGGUCUGCCCACUCGAGUCCCGUGCCACCAAAAGCCUCCCUACUUGCCUAAUCCGCCUCUCUCACGCGUCUCCCCUUUUGCCCCCGCCUCCUCCCUGCCCCCCUUUGCCUCCAUCUCUCUCACGCGUUCCCCCUCUCUCACGCCUCUCCCCGUUCUUUGCUUUCCUCGGUUAGUAGAGAUAUUCUGCCGUUGGCCGCCGCCACACCACUGACUUCGAACCUUCGGUCUUCGUCGCUGCUCCGGCAUCCUCCACCUAUCGCGAGCAAUGCUUCUACUCUGCACCAAGUCCCGAUCCUCCAUCCGGCGGUCGACGCCGCGCCGCUACUCUGUCCUCUGAGGCUGAUCCGGCGGUUCCUCACCUCUCUAGAGCAACAGCCCACCAGGACACCACCUAGCCCCAGUCUUCCAUCCGACGGCCGAUGGCACGCCGCUGACCUUCGAAACGUUGGCCUCCAUGGUUGAUCCGGUGAUUCCUCGCUUCAUCCUAUUUGAUGAAGUGAUAUUUCCAUUUUUUCCCUCUAUUCUCGAGCGAUAGAUGAGCUGGGUGAGAGCUCGAGCUCGGCUCGAUUUACGCUUGAAGACUGAUUAAGCCAAGUGUUUGAGGAAUUUUGCGACUCAACCAAAGUCAAGCGAAGCUAACGUUAAGGUAUUUUGGGUGGCUUGAGAUUCUGGGCUCAAUUCAUACAAACAUUUUCCAUUCUUGAAGGUUGCUGAUUUUGGGUGCUGAUUUUGGACCUUGCAGGUUGCUGAUUUUGGGUCUUGCAGGUUGCUGACUAACAACAUCAACUGAAGUUGGAAUUUUGCCAGAUCCAACUCGUGCUAUUCGGCCAAUUUGUUACCUAUUUGUGCAUAUGUUUGAUCUUUUGAAGAAUCAGUGUCUGUAUUUUUUUAUGUGAGCAAUUUUCUGUAAUGAUAGUUUGGACAUUAUGGAUGUAUGUUAUAGAUUAUUGUAUGUAUUGACAAUUUAUAUUUACAAUUAGAAGCAUUUGGAUGUACUUCACUUGCAAUAUGUCAAGUUUGAUU